GGCCUUCUCCGGUCCGCCCCGUUUCCCGCUGCAGAGGAAGCGGCGAGGCCGCCGCCUCCCGCCGCCGCUCCCGGCGGAUGUCCGGCCGCGGCCAUGGCGCUGGCGGAGGCGGGAGCCCGCGGGCGGCUCCUGCGUUGGCCUCGCGUCCUCCUCUUCGGAGACUCCAUCACUGAGUACUCCUUCCAGGAAAACGGCUGGGGGGCAUACCUUGCUGAGAGACUGGUCAGAAAGUGUGAUGUUGUGAACCGCGGGAUCUCGGGGUACAACACCAGAUGGGCUAAAUUGGUCCUUCCAAGACUGAUCACUGAAAGUACAAGUGCUGACAGUAUUGUUGCAGUUACCAUUUUCUUUGGAGCUAAUGACAGUGCUUUGAAAGAGCUGAACCCUAAGCAACAUGUUCCUUUGGAGGAGUACGCCACCAACCUGAAGAGCAUGGUGCAGUACCUGAAGUCAGUAGACAUUACUGCAGACAGGAUUAUUUUGAUAACACCACCACCUCUUCAGGAAUCAGCUUGGGAAAAAGCAUGUCUUGCCAAAGGUGACAAACUGAACCGCUGCAAUGCCACCACCGGGCAGUACGCCCAGGCCUGUGUCCAGGUCGCCAGGGAAUGCGGCACGGACGUGCUCGACCUCUGGACCCUGAUGCAGAAGAAUCAGGAUUUCUCUUCCUAUUUGUCUGAUGGUCUUCAUCUGUCGACAAAAGGCAACAGCUUUGUAGCAGCUCAGCUUUGGUCACGCCUGGAAAACAAACUGUCUGCUCUUCCUUCACUGCUUCCUUAUUGGCGUGAUGUGGACCACACGAACCCUGAGGCCAGUCUUCUGUGACAUCCCUGCAGGGAGGAGCCGGGGCAGCCACCCAGACAGAGCCAGCCCAUUAUCCAGCAGCAUGCUGCAAACUGUGUCCUCAGGGAACAUGGCACUGGGCACUUCCCAGCAGUGCUCUUCUCUGUUCCCUUCUCUUGGUCUGUGGGAGAAUAAAGCAUGGUUUGGAAAAUAUCCAGAGAUUUCUAGGCAUAAAAGAAAUCCCCAAGGACCUCCGCAAAUGCUAAUACUGGGAAGGCUGAGAUGUUUACCUGCUACCAUUUCCCAGCUGCUCCAUCCUCAGCAGAUGAACUUUUGCUGGUGCAAGGAGACCAUUGGCUAUACCUGUGCUCUCCUGCCUCUGUGAUUUUCUCAAUUGAAUACAGGUAAGAAGCACUAAGAUAACUUUUCUCAUGGCACAACUAUGGGGCACUUGAACUAAGAUCACCCUCGGUUCUGUCACAGUAGAUGACAGAGGCACUCUGUCUCAGUGGUCUCCAGUAUGCUUCCUCCAAUGGUUGUACAAAGAAGAGUUCUGCAAGGCUUUUUUCCCCCCUCCCCUCACAGAACAACAUUUCCUUAACUGAAUAUUUCAGUUCUUAACAGGAACUGGAUUGUCAAAGCACAGGAAAGGUCACCCAAAACUAUGUCACAAGGUGCCCUGUGCUGGACUGUAAUUAAAAUUUAUCUUGGCAAUUUUUUGCUCUUUCCGUCUCCCAGCUCAGUAUCUGCAAGGCGAGAAGUGCUGCUGAUGGGCUCCUGGAGCAAUUGGAAGGCUAUAGCACAUCUGGGUGCUAGAAGCCAACUCCUGCAAACAGCCAUUCUACAGCAAAGACACUGCAUUUUGCAGAGAUUUUUGAGCCAUAUGCUUCAGUGACUCCACCUGGUUGCGAACAAGCAGCCUGUGGCUGGUGCUGCCGCGUGUGCUGUGCCAAGGGGAUGCCAGACAUGGGUGAAGGCUGUGCUCUGCAGAGCAGAGUGGCUUCCAGCCCCAGAGGGCUUCCUGCCCCUCUCUGCUGCACCAGAGGGGCUCUGCCAACAAGGCUCAGCUCUUACAAGAAGGAAGAAUCAGAUCCUGCCAUGCUGCAGUGCUUGGUAAGAGUGAACAGAGGCUUUUUCAGAAACCAGCUUCUCCUCACAUGCAUUCACCCCUCUGCAGCAUGGGGCUCUGGAGCUCUCUCUUACUACUCUUUUAGUAAAUACUCUGCAGACACCUGAUGUUCAGGUUUUCCAAGGCACAUG